ACAUAGCUCAGUUGGUAGAGCGGUUGACUGUAGUUGAAUGCACCCAUCAAUUGGUCACCGGUUCGAUUCCGGUUGU
rnacentral:tRNA from 1 species